CAUUGAGGUGAUGAAAUUUGUCUCGGAAAAUACAAUAUGUCGACCUUAAACAAAUUCAGACUACAAUUAUCUGAUUCAAUG